ACAGAGCUCGAGCUGAAGCCUUACAACCUACCAUAUCUCAUCCCGUCCCCGCUCGGCUGGUCGCCGCCCGCGUGCGCGUGCGCUUGCCGGACCUGACCGUGCAGCAGCUUGGCCGGCACCGAAGCCCCCAUCGGGGUCGGCCGGACCUGCGUUGAUUGGCUGGCCGCGGCCCAUGUGCGCUUGCCGGACCUAGCCGUGCUGCAGCUUGGCCAGAAUCGGCGCCUAAAUCGACGUCGGGCGGACGGCGGACCAGCGUCGCCACCCAGUGGCGCGGAGGUUGGUGAGCCGGCACGGGGCGACUACACAAGAGGGCGGCGCCUCGGGCUUGUGGAGGAGCUUGGAGGAGGGGUCGAGGGAGCGAGAUGAAGGACGUCGAGGACCGCAGCUAGAGCGCCAUGGAUUUGAUAUGCCCUUGGAGAGGAAGAAGGGGGACGGGGAUGCUUGGAGGGGGAGAGGGACUGCAAUCUUUGUCUCCAGCUCGGGUCGUCAAUUCUGUCCUCAAGAAAGCCGCCGGGCUGCAGUUCGUGUACUCAACAUCACCUACACAGGACACAGAAUGCGGUCACAGAUUCCUGUAGAAGUUCUACAAGGGUGCAGCACACUGCUUUUUCCCGGCCAACACUCUGGAUCGUGUCACAGUUGAUGGAAAGUGGAUCUUUUAGGCAAACAUAUUUGUGUGCACUGCUGGAUGAGAAGUCUCCCGCAAUGGUU